UGGGGAAUAUUGCACAAUGGGCGCAAGCCUGAUGCAGCCAUGCCGCGUGUGUGAAGAAGGCCUUCGGGUUGUAAAGCACUUUCAGCGAGGAGGAAGGUGGUGAGCUUAAUACGCUCAUCAAUUGACGUUACUCGCAGAAGAAGCACCGGCUAACUCCGUGCCAGCAGCCGCGGUAAUACGGAGGGUGCAAGCGUUAAUCGGAAUUACUGGGCGUAAAGCGCACGCAGGCGGUUUGUUAAGUCAGAUGUGAAAUCCCCGGGCUCAACCUGGGAACUGCAUUUGAAAACUGGCAAGCUAGAGUCUCGUAGAGGGGGGUAGAAUUCCAGGUGUAGCGGUGAAAUGCGUAGAGAUCUGGAGGAAUACCGGUGGCGAAGGCGGCCCCCUGGACGAAGACUGACGCUCAGGUGCGAAAAGCGUGGGGAGCAAACAGGAUUAGAUACCCCUGGUAGUCCACGCUGUAAACGAUGUCGAUUUUGGAGGUUGUGCCCUUGAGGCGUGGCUUCCGGAGCUAACGCGUUAAAUCGACCGCCUGGGGAGUACGGCCGCAAGG
rnacentral:rRNA from 1 species